GACGAACGCUGGCGGCGUGCUUAACACAUGCAAGUCGUACGGUAAGGCCCUUUCGGGGGUACACGAGUGGCGAACGGGUGAGUAACACGUGAGUAACCUGCCCACAACUUUGGGAUAACGCUAGGAAACUGGUGCUAAUACUGGAUAUGUGCCCCUGCUGCAUGGUGGGGGUUGGAAAGCUCCGGGGGUUGUGGAUGGACUCGCGGCCUAUCAGCUUGUUGGUGGGGUAGUGGCCUACCAAGGCGGCGACGGGUAGCCGGCCUGAGGGGGUGACCGGCCACAUUGGGGCUGAGAUACGGCCCCGACUCCUACGGGAGGCAGCCGGGGGGAAUAUUGCACAAUGGGCGCGAGCCUGGUGCAGCAACGCCGCGUGCGGGAUGACGGCCUUCGGGUUGUAAACCGCUUUCAGCAGGGACGAAGCUUUUUGUGACGGUACCUGCAGAAGAAGCACCGGCUAACUACGUG
rnacentral:rRNA from 1 species